UGUGAAGCGAGCCCUGGUGAGGUGUGGAACCCACGGUCGGUGCUGAUCAUUACCGUCUCCAUCCUGCGAGGAUUCCCUUAUCCACUGAGGAUUUCCGUUCCCCUUCGUCCCAUAGCGGGAUCUUGCCCCAAGCAGGCUCAGGGAGAGUCUGACCUGCAGUGUGUGUGGAUUUCGUCGGAUUCACGCGAAGAUAUUCAGCGGCGCGGGAGUGAGGGUGUGUCAGUGUUCGCCCCCGAGUGUAGGGAAACCUAUCGGGAGGCCCCAGUGUUUUAGUGAGGAUUACUGUUCACGAGCAAGGAUUCCGUUAUUCGCUGAGGAUUACAACCUGUACGCCAAGGAUCUCCCGCCAUUCAGCGAGGAUUUGAGUGUCCACAAAGGGUCACCGUAAUUGCCCAGGAGAAUUCCGAACGCCAUUGAGGGAUUCCAGGAUCCAAGUUGCUCGGUGCCGGGUUGAACCUCUUUAUGGGACGCCGAGACGCGGGUGGAUCGAGAACGCUCGGCGGCUGCGGCGGCGGCGGCGGCGGCGGCGGACCCUGCCAGGACCAGCAUUAAGGUACUAAGGUCAUCGUGUUUCUUUUUG